UACGUAGGGUGCAAGCGUUAAUCGGAAUUACUGGGCGUAAAGCGUGCGCAGGCGGUUUUGUAAGUCAGAUGUGAAAUCCCCGGGCUUAACCUGGGAAUUGCAUUCGUGACUGCACGGCUAGAGUGUGUCAGAGGGGGGUAGAAUUCCACGUGUAGCAGUGAAAUGCGUAGAUAUGUGGAGGAAUACCGAUGGCGAAGGCAGCCCCCUGGGAUAACACUGACGCUCAUGCACGAAAGCGUGGGGAGCAAACAGG
rnacentral:rRNA from 1 species